rnacentral:rRNA from 1 species
AACGAACGCUGGCGGCAUGCCUAACACAUGCAAGUCGAACGAGACCUUCGGGUCUAGUGGCGCACGGGUGCGUAACGCGUGGGAAUCUGCCCUUGGGUUCGGAAUAACAGCGAGAAAUUGUUGCUAAUACCGGAUGAUGACGUAAGUCCAAAGAUUUAUCGCCCAAGGAUGAGCCCGCGUAGGAUUAGCUAGUUGGUGAGGUAAAGGCUCACCAAGGCGACGAUCCUUAGCUGGUCUGAGAGGAUGAUCAGCCACACUGGGACUGAGACACGGCCCAGACUCCUACGGGAGGCAGCAGUGGGGAAUAUUGGACAAUGGGCGAAAGCCUGAUCCAGCAAUGCCGCGUGAGUGAUGAAGGCCUUAGGGUUGUAAAGCUCUUUUACCCGGGACUGAUAAUGACAGUACCGGGAGGAAUAAGACUCCGGCUAACUCCGUGCCAGCAGCCGCGGUAAU